UGAGCUUUUGUUUAUUAUAAUUUUCAGAAAAAAACGGGAGUUAAUAAAUGGGGCGUGGUAGGUCGUCAUCAAGCGGCAGAAGUCGUUCAAAAUCCCGCGAGCGAAAUCGAAAGAAACAUGCAAGAAGUUACAAAUCCCGCAGAGGAAGGUCUCGCAGCCGUAGCAGAACUAGCAAACAUGAGUCAUACCGAAGCUCUAAAAGGGACAGAAAAAGUAGCAAUCGGAAACCAAAACGAAGCUCUAGUCGAUCGAGCGAAGAAAAUCGCUCAUCACGCUCCAGAGCACCCAAAAAAUCAGCUUCAAAGACGCAUAAUCGAGUAAGCAGUCCGAAGAUAUCAGCCUCUGAAAAAUUGAAACAGGACGUUAUUUCUAUCAUGAAGAAGAAAGAAAAAAGAGAAAGCUCGGAUUCAGAAACGGAAGUAAAAGAAGUAAAACCGUCAACAGCCGUUAUGAAUGAAUUAAAUUCAGACGCAUUUAAACAGAGACAAUUCAAGUCAACGGCAAACAGAAAUGCAAACACCAAGAAGCAGAAUGCCAAGAACUCGACACAAGAGUUAUCAGCGCUUAAUCCCACUUUGGCGGCCAUGAGUUCUAAUAGGUAUCGACAGAAGAAAGAUAUGCCCGAAUUAUCAAUUUUCAACGACAAGUUUUUUAUUGACGAAGACGAAAAAUUGAGCAAUUGGUUAAAAAGAUUGGCCGUAUAUAGAAAACAAUUUUUUGCUUUGAGAAAACCUGUGCUUGACGAAGAUAAGAUUAAUUAAUUGAUUUUGCCAAACAUUUAUGACAGCUUUUGAUUACUUUAAUUUAUUUGAUUGA